GGGCGCAUAGCUCAGUUGGUUAGAGCGUACGGUUCACAUCCGUAAGGUCCGGGGUUCGAGCCCCUGUGCGCCCA
rnacentral:tRNA from 2 species